rnacentral:rRNA from 1 species
GACGAACGCUGGCGGCGUGCCUAAUACAUGCAAGUCGAACGCUGAAGGAGGAGCUUGCUCUUCUGGAUGAGUUGCGAACGGGUGAGUAACGCGUAGGUAACCUGCCUGGUAGCGGGGGAUAACUAUUGGAAACGAUAGCUAAUACCGCAUAACAGUAGAUGUUGCAUGACAUUUACUUAAAAGGUGCAAUUGCAUCACUACCAGAUGGACCUGCGUUGUAUUAGCUAGUUGGUGGGGUAACGGCUCACCAAGGCGACGAUACAUAGCCGACCUGAGAGGGUGAUAGGCCACACUGGGACUGAGACACGGCCCAGACUCCUACGGGAGGCAGCAGUAGGGAAUCUUCGGCAAUGGACGGAAGUCUGACCGAGCAACGCCGCGUGUGUGAAGAAGGGUUUCGGAUCGUAAAGCUCGGUUGUAAGAGAAGAACGAGUGUGAGAGUGGAAAGUUCACACUGUGACGGUAUCUUACCAGAAAGGGACGGCUAACUACGUG